rnacentral:lncRNA from 1 species
ACGAGGCCAUUAGGCUCGGCAUCGGCCAGACAGCCUACGGGUGGGUCUCAGGGCCAGACAGCCUUCGGGCGGGUCUCUUCAGAUUUGAUUUUGAGAAUUCAUCAUGCCAUAUGGACAUUGACUAGAAUAGUAAACAAUGACAUCUUUACUAUUUGACUUAUGGACAUCAUACUAGCGUUGCUUGGGUACAUUCAUACGAGAAUAGCUUUUCUUACUUAUGCUAAAUCAUGCUAAGUAGAGAUAUCAUGUGGUAGCAAAUAUUCAUGCUUAUUUACUUGUCGUACAUAUCGCUCUUGUUUAUAUCUGCUUACUGACCCCUUUUUAGUUUGGGCCUAGUGGGGCAUUUCACUGAAGCCAGUAAUUGCCCACUGGGAACUAUUAUUCAAUAGUUCUCACGCCUUCUGUUUUAUGGUU